CAUUUCCUCUUCUUGUUCAGCCGUGGCUUUGAGAGAAAGAAAGGAAAACUCUCCAUUUUUUUUCCAACUUCAAUUUCCACUUAAAUCUUGAGUUUUAACCGAUAGAUUUUCAAACUACUUCGUACAAGUGCUAGCUAAGGAGGGGUGAAGGUGAUUGUGGAGUUGAUUUUGGAAGGGAAGCUCUAAGUUGAUAGCUUUCUUGAAUUUGAGGUAAGUUGGAUAAACAAGUUUCCUUUUGUUCUAAUAUUGGUUAAUUAAGGGUUUGUGAUGGUGAAAUAUGUUGUAUUGUGGAGUAUUUCAUGGGUUGAAGGCAUUUAUGGUGAAUUUCUGAUUUAUUAGGGGAUUUUCUGAUUUCAUAUUAUAAUCAUGGAUUGGUCUUGAAUUAAUGGAUGGUUAUGGUGUUAAAUGGAACCUUUAUACGAUAAUUGCGGUUGUUUGUGGAAAUAAUUGCGGUUGUUUGCGGAAAAGUUCCGCUUGUGGGGAUAAUUUCCGGUUCUAGGGUUUCAAUUUGGGGGUUUUCUUAUAGUUGGCUUUGAAGCUUCUAAUUGGCCUUGAUUGAAAGGUUUUGUGGCCUAAUUGGACUUGUUUUAUUGUUUAUAAACCGAAUUUGUGAUUGUGGUUGAUUCUUGUAAGUUUGUAUAUUUGAUUGUAGGGUGAAAGUGAAAUUUAAAGGGACAUGCCGUCCGUUUAUU
rnacentral:lncRNA from 1 species